rnacentral:rRNA from 1 species
GACGUGGGGCGCGAGCGUUGUCCGGAUUUAUUGGGCGUAAAGAGCUCGUAGGCGGCUUGUCGCGUCGUCUGUGAAAUCCCGCGGCUCAACUGCGGGCUGGCAGUCGAUACGGGCAGGCUGGAGUUCGGUAGGGGAGACUGGAAUUCCUGGUGUAGCGGUGAAAUGCGCAGAUAUCAGGAGGAACACCGGUGGCGAAGGCGGGUCUCUGGGCCGAUACUGACGCUGAGGAGCGAAAGCGUGGGGAGCGAACAGG